rnacentral:rRNA from 1 species
GUCGAACGGCAGCACGGGGGCAACCCUGGUGGCGAGUGGCGAACGGGCGAGUAAUACAUCGGAACGUGUCCUGUAGUGGGGGAUAGCCCGGCGAAAGCCGGAUUAAUACCGCAUACGAUCUACGGAAGAAAGCGGGGGAUCUUCGGACCUCGCGCUAUAGGGGCGGCCGAUGGCAGAUUAGCUAGUUGGUGGGGUAAAGGCCUACCAAGGCGACGAUCUGUAGCUGGUCUGAGAGGACGACCAGCCACACUGGGACUGAGACACGGCCCAGACUCCUACGGGAGGCAGCAGUGGGGAAUUUUGGACAAUGGGGGCAACCCUGAUCCAGCAAUGCCGCGUGUGUGAAGAAGGCCUUCGGGUUGUAAAGCACUUUUGUCCGGAAAGAAAACCUCUUGGUUAAUACCUGAGGGGGAUGACGGUACCGGAAGAAUAAGCACCGGCUAACUACGUGCCAGCAGCCGCGGUAAUACGUAGGGUGCGAGCGUUAAUCGGAAUUACUGGGCGUAAAGCGUGCGCAGGCGGUCUGUUAAGACCGAUGUGAAAUCCCCGGGCUUAACCUGGGAACUGCAUUGGUGACUGGCAGGCUUUGAGUGUGGCAGAGGGAGGUAGAAUUCCACGUGUAGCAGUG